rnacentral:lncRNA from 1 species
ACGGCGGCAGGUGGAAGUGCCCAUAUGCAUGGAUUCCUUUGGCUGCUCUCCAGAGCUUUGGUCCCAGCGCCAUGUGCAAAGCCGCAACUUAGCCCCACAGAAUGGUCAGCCGAGGGCCGGGGAAAGCAGGUGAUGCGGGGCGCAGCUCCCAGCAGCCUCGGGGGAGACGCGACCAGAACAAAAGCAAGCUCUCAUUAAACUUUUGACAUCGUCCUUCGAAGCAAACCAACCAACCCACCCACCCAGGAAUGUUACAAGUGGGCUGACCUACCCUACCCCUCCGCCCAGCCCCAUGCACCCCCAGGCGCUCUGGAGGAGUGGAACCCAGAGAUCUAGAUUCCAGCUCGAACUCCAGCUGCUAUCAUCCAUCUGUCUCCGGGUGUGUAGUAGGUGGCAGCUUGGAGAUGGGGGUUCAGUAAUAUUAUAGACCCUUUAAUAACAACAGUGCGGGGAGUUACCUGCUGGUAUGCAACAGAGCCUGCAGCUGGAGUCCUUGUGUCUGAGCAUUCCAGACUUAUCUAGCACAGGUACUGAUCUGAUGCUACUGUAAUAGGGGACCAGGUAGGGCAGGGUCUGGCUGUUUUUCCAGGUGUCUGUAUCUGUGGUCCCAUGGGGUUAUGGUCCAUUACAGGGGCUCUCAGGUGCUACCACAGCACAGCUAACGAGUAUCUCAGAGAUUAUUUACCCCCCAUCACAGUGUCUCUAAGUACCUCUCAGCUUUUAAUGUAUUGAUUCUCAAUGCCUCUGUGAGGCCGGACAGGGCUGUUAUUCCCAUUGUACAGGUGGGGAAACUAAGUGAUUUGGCCUAGGUCACCCAGGAAGUCUGGGGCAGAGUCAGGAACUGAACCUAGGGCUCUCAAGACCCCUGUACAGGGGGGAAGGGGGAGCAGCGCCAGAGUGUGGGAAGUCACUUUCCUGACUCUCCAUGCUCCAGCCACAACCCUAUUCCCCUUUCACUUUCCCAUUUUCCUCUGAAAGUGACUGGUCUGAGAAUGUACAGCAGUGGGGUGAGUCUGUUGGGGACCUAGGCACCCUCCUGCCCUCUGGCUUCCCCGAGACCUUGGCUGGCCUCAGCACCUCUGAAAAGUAGCUGCUCGCACCUUUCAAAAACUCAACUGCAGCUGUGACUGUAGCGCUUCUGGGAAGGCUGGAGUGACAGCCCUAGGGGGGCGUUUCAUGUUUCUCCCCAGCUUGGUAG